GGGUUGUGAGGUUAAGCGACUAAGCGUACACGGUGGAUGCCCUGGCAGUCAGAGGCGAUGAAGGACGUGCUAAUCUGCGAAAAGCGUCGGUAAGGUGAUAUGAACCGUUAUAACCGGCGAUGUCCGAAUGGGGAAACCCAGUGCAAUUCGUUGCACUAUCGUUAACUGAAUACAUAGGUUAACGAGGCGAACCGGGGGAACUGAAACAUCUAAGUACCCCGAGGAAAAGAAAUCAACCGAGAUUCCCCCAGUAGCGGCGAGCGAACGGGGAGCAGCCCAGAGUCUGAAUCAGCUUGUGUGUUAGUGGAACGGUCUGGAAAGUCCGACGGUACAGGGUGAUAGUCCCGUACACCAAAAUGCACAGGCUGUGAACUCGAAGAGUAGGGCGGGACACGUGGUAUCCUGUCUGAAUAUGGGGGGACCAUCCUCCAAGGCUAAAUACUCCUGACUGACCGAUAGUGAACCAGUACCGUGAGGGAAAGGCGAAAAGAACCCCGGCGAGGGGAGUGAAAAAGAACCUGAAACCGUGUACGUACAAGCAGUGGGAGCACCUUCGGGUGUGACUGCGUACCUUUUGUAUAAUGGGUCAGCGACUUAUAUUCUGUAGCAAGGUUAACCGUAUAGGGGAGCCGCAGGGAAACCGAGUCUUAACUGGGCGUUAAGUUGCAGGGUAUAGACCCGAAACCCGGUGAUCUAGCCAUGGGCAGGUUGAAGGUUGGGUAACACUAACUGGAGGACCGAACCGACUAAUGUUGAAAAAUUAGCGGAUGACUUGUGGCUGGGGGUGAAAGGCCAAUCAAACCGGGAGAUAGCUGGUUCUCCCCGAAAGCUAUUUAGGUAGCGCCUCGUGAAUUCAUCUUCGGGGGUAGAGCACUGUUUCGGCUAGGGGGUCAUCCCGACUUACCAACCCGAUGCAAACUACGAAUACCGAAGAAUGUUAUCACGGGAGACACACGGCGGGUGCUAACGUCCGUCGUGAAGAGGGAAACAACCCAGACCGCCAGCUAAGGUCCCAAAGUCAUGGUUAAGUGGGAAACGAUGUGGGAAGGCACAGACAGCCAGGAUGUUGGCUUAGAAGCAGCCAUCAUUUAAAGAAAGCGUAAUAGCUCACUGGUCGAGUCGGCCUGCGCGGAAGAUGUAACGGGGCUAAACCAUGCACCGAAGCUGCGGCAGCGACACUAUGUGUUGUUGGGUAGGGGAGCGUUCUGUAAGCCUGCGAAGGUGACCUGUGAGGGUUGCUGGAGGUAUCAGAAGUGCGAAUGCUGACAUAAGUAACGAUAAAGCGGGUGAAAAGCCCGCUCGCCGGAAGACCAAGGGUUCCUGUCCAACGUUAAUCGGGGCAGGGUGAGUCGACCCCUAAGGCGAGGCCGAAAGGCGUAGUCGAUGGGAAACAGGUUAAUAUUCCUGUACUUGGUGUUACUGCGAAGGGGGGACGGAGAAGGCUAUGUUAGCCGGGCGACGGUUGUCCCGGUUUAAGCAUGUAGGCUGAUUAUCCAGGCAAAUCCGGAUAAUCAAGGCUGAGGUGUGAUGACGAGGCACUACGGUGCUGAAGUAACAAAUGCCCUGCUUCCAGGAAAAGCCUCUAAGCAUCAGGUAACAUCAAAUCGUACCCCAAACCGACACAGGUGGUCAGGUAGAGAAUACCAAGGCGCUUGAGAGAACUCGGGUGAAGGAACUAGGCAAAAUGGUGCCGUAACUUCGGGAGAAGGCACGCUGGUGUGUAGGUGAAGUCCCUGCGGAUGGAGCUGAGACCAGUCGAAGAUACCAGCUGGCUGCAACUGUUUAUUAAAAACACAGCACUGUGCAAACACGAAAGUGGACGUAUACGGUGUGACGCCUGCCCGGUGCCGGAAGGUUAAUUGAUGGGGUUAUCCGUAAGGAGAAGCUCUUGAUCGAAGCCCCGGUAAACGGCGGCCGUAACUAUAACGGUCCUAAGGUAGCGAAAUUCCUUGUCGGGUAAGUUCCGACCUGCACGAAUGGCGUAAUGAUGGCCAGGCUGUCUCCACCCGAGACUCAGUGAAAUUGAACUCGCUGUGAAGAUGCAGUGUACCCGCGGCAAGACGGAAAGACCCCGUGAACCUUUACUAUAGCUUGACACUGAACAUUGAGCCUUGAUGUGUAGGAUAGGUGGGAGGCUUUGAAGCGUGGACGCCAGUCUGCGUGGAGCCAACCUUGAA
rnacentral:rRNA from 1 species